AAGGGGCUGAAAAGUUUGUUGUUUUAGUUUAUUAUUUUUGCCCUGCACCCGUGAAGGGGGAAGGGUGAAGGUGUCCGUUUAUUUUAUUUCAUGUUUAUGUGGAUACGCUGUCCCUCUCCAUGCGACAGACAACGGCGUUUCCAGGGAUUUGCUGAAGCCAUGGCAAUGGUCUCCUGUGAUCAAAACUUUGGUGAUGCUGCAGGGGGAGAGGGAUCUUUCCCAAGAGCUGAGAAAAUAUGAGUGCUUUGGCGGAGUGGUCAAGCAGGGCUCUAAAUCUUUACCUCUCAGGGCUGGUGAUUUUCAUCAGGAACGGGAGUUCGGCAUUACACUGCCAUCCAGAAUAAACUGCAGAAGCCCAGCCGCGAACGGCUCAAGUAAUUAUCGACAGCGGCCCAGUGCAAACAGCACACCCUCACCCUGCCUUCAUCAUGCUAUAUCGUCUGGAACAGACAGCAUCGCCUUGUCUCGCUCGUUACUUUGUUUCCAGGACAGAAAAAAUAGAGAAGGAAUGAACUAGACUGUGACGGGGUCCAGCUUCCUCUCAGUAGAUGACCGACCGAUCAAUCAGCAAGAGGACCACAUCAUCAACCAAGGAUAGCUGAACAGGGAAACAGAAACAGCUGUGAAUGUCAUUCUCAGUUUUGGAAUCAAUCUCUGGAGCGCAGAGCAAAAUAUUGCAAUGCAUGGCUAUAUAGUGCCUGUGUAUUGUUUAGUCAAGUUAAAAGUUACAGAAAAAUAAACCUUAAACUGUAUUUAUGUUGCAACGAUCGCCCGUGAGCUAAAGAUUUUAGAAGAAAGUUUGAUUUCUUCAGAGCCUUUGUUGUGUGGGGCUAGAUGCAGGGAGCCAUUUUUUUCUUUUUUAUCUAGAGACGAGUAACUUGGUAUGCUCCAUACACAUCUGACAAACUCAAUAUCUCUGAAAGCAACUGGAAUGGAACAACAUUUUCAACUCAUGACUGAGUGCAUGUCCCGACUCUCUUUUUUCCUCAUUUUAAAAUUCCCUUUGGCCCUGCUUACAGAGAACCAGCUGAAACACUGGAAAUGCUCAUCUUUUUGCUAUAUCUAAGACUGUCAGUUGAUAUCUGUCAGAAUUUUGUGCCUCUUAUUGAUAGUGAAAUUUUUUUAUAUCAGAUUUCAUUACUUCUUACCAGAAUUAGCAUAGAAGAAAAGAUUAAUAAGAAUCAAACUGAUGGAUACUAAUUAGAAUAGCAGUAUUUGAUUU